GAUGAAGAACGUAGCGAAAUGCGAUAAGUAAUGUGAAUUGCAGAAUUCAGUGAAUCAUCGAAUCUUUGAACGCACAUUGCGCCCGCCAGUAUUCUGGCGGGCAUGCCUGUUUGAGCGUCAUUACAACCCUCAGGCCCCCGGGCCUGGCGUUGGGGAUCGGCGGAGCCCCCCGUGGGCACACGCCGUCCCCCAAAUGCAGUGGCGGUCCCGCCGCAGCUUCCAUCGCGUAGUAGCUAACACCUCGCGACUGGAGAGCGGCGCGGCCACGCCGUAAAACACCCAACUCUUCUGAAGUUGACCUCGAAUCAGGUAGGAAUACCCGCUGAACUUAAGCAUAUCAAUAAGCGGAGGA
rnacentral:misc_RNA from 1 species